GCCCCCUGAAGCUCCGGUAAAGGCGCGAGGGGGCCUGAGUACGGAGAGCGGCAGGACGACGAACGAGUAGGUUGGGGCACUGCAACGGCGGCCGCUCUCUUCCUGGGACCACUGAGCUGGGCAGCCAUGUUCUAAUGACUGGUGUUUCCAGAUUUUUAUCCAGAUUUUCUUACACCCCUGGAGCCUGCUGCAAAAUCAGUCAGGAUGGCCACCGGCUGGGGGAGCCUCUUGCAGGAUGAACAGCAGCUGGAGGAGCUAACAAGGCAGGCUGUAGACCGGGCCCUGGCAGAGGGAGUGUUGCUGAGGACCUCACAAGAGCCCAGCUCCUCAGAUGUGGUGAGCUAUGCCCCAUUCACACUCUUCCCCUCACUGGUCACGAGUGCCCUGCUGGAGCAGGCCUAUGCUGUGCAAAUGGACUUCAACCUGCUGGUGGAUGCUGUCAGCCAGAACGCUGCCUUUCUGGAGCAAACUCUCUCCAGCACCAUCAAAAGGGACAACUUUACUGCUCAUCUCUUUGACAUCCACAAGCAAGUCCUGAAAGAGGGCGUUGCCCAGACGGUGUUCCUGGGCCUGAAUCGCUCAGACUACAUGUUCCAGCGCAACGCAGAUGGCUCUGCAGCCCUGAAACAGAUUGAAAUCAACACCAUCUCUGCCAGCUUUGGGGGCCUAGCCUCCCGGACCCCUGCUGUGCAUCGACAUGUUCUCAAUGUCCUGGGUAAGACCAAAGAAGCUGCCAAGAUCCUCUCCAAUAAUCCCAGCAAGGGAUUGGCCAUGGGGAUUGCCAAAGCCUGGGAACUCUACGGAUCAGCCAACGCUCGGGUGCUACUGAUUGCUCAAGAGAAGGAAAGGAAUAUAUUCGACCAGCGUGCUAUAGAGAAUGAGCUACUAGCCAGGAAUAUCCAUGUAAUCCGGCGAAAGUUUGAAGAUGUCUCUGAAAAGGGGUCUCUAGACCAGGACCGAAGACUGUUUAUGGACGGCCAGGAAGUUGCUGUGGUUUACUUCCGGGAUGGCUACAUGCCAAGUCAUUACAGUCUACAGAACUGGGAAGCACGGCUGCUGCUGGAGAGGUCAUGUGCUGUCAAGUGCCCGGACGUUGCCACGCAGCUGGCUGGGACUAAGAAGGUGCAACAGGAGCUGAGCAGAUCAGGCAUGCUGGAGGUGUUGCUCCCCGGCCAGCCUGAGGCCGUGGCCCGCCUCCGUGCCACCUUUGCUGGCCUCUACUCACUGGACAUGGGUGAAGAAGGGGACCAGGCUAUCACUGAGGCCAUUGCUGCCCCUAACUGCUUCGUGCUAAAGCCCCAGAGAGAGGGUGGAGGUAACAACCUAUAUGGGGAGGAGAUGGUACAGGCCCUGGAGCGGCUGAAGGACAGUGAGGAGAGAGCCUCCUAUAUCCUCAUGGAGAAGAUAGAACCUGAACCUUUUGAGAAUUGUCUACUGCGACCUGGCAGCCCUGCCCGAGUGGCCCAAUGCAUUUCAGAGCUGGGCAUCUUCGGGGUCUAUGUCAGGAAGACAAUUACAGCUUUGUCAAACCUUAGGAGAAAUAGCCUGAAUGCCAUUCCUGAGAAGUAGGACAAAGUACAGGCUUUGGAGAUAGACAAUCCAGGCUUGGAAUCCCCGCUCUGCCACUUACUAGCUGUGUGACCCCAGGCAUGUAUUAAGGAGAACUUAUAUCAUGGAUGUGAUUCUUCCUGAAAGUGAUGUCAGCACUGCACUGGUGUUACUCAAGUGUGGUCUCCAGAUGACUUGUACCCAAGUCACCUAGGGAACUUGUUAAAAUGUAGAUUCCUGAGCCCAAACUUAGAAUCACAAUCACAACGUCCAAGAAUCUGCUUCUUUACUACAAGCUGGUAUAAAUAAUCAGUAGGUUAUAUAUAAAAUAGAUAACUAAUAAGGACCUAAUGUAUAGCACAGGGAACUCUACUCAGUACUCUGUAAUGGCCUACAUGGGAAAAGAAUCUAAAAAAGAGUGGAUAUAUGUAUAUGUAUAACAGAUUCACUUUGCUGUACACCUGAAACUAACACAACAUUGUAAAUCAACUAUACUCCAAUAAGAAUUAAAAAAAAAAAGAAUCAGUAGGUAAUUCUGAUGCACAUUUAAAGUUAAGAAUCACUACCCUCUAUCAGCUGAUUUCUACCUCCUCAGCCUUGCCUCCUACUCCUGUCUAGGCUUCAGCCUGGUUUCUUUCAGUCAUUCUUUCAUUUAUUCAUUUGCUUAUUCAACUCCUAUGUGCUAUAUAUAUGUAUAGAAAUAAGGCACUGAGGAACAAGAUAAGCAAGAUCCCUGACAACAUGGAGCUUAUAUUCCAAUGAUAGUGCAGGAAAUACACAAGUAAAAAAUAUAACCAAGAUAAUUUCAGAUUAUAAGCAUUAUGAAGGAUAUAAAGAAUGACAUAAUAAUGACUGAGAAAUAAUUUUCAAAAAGACAUCUUAAGGAACUUUCAGACUGUAUGCAAAGAUUUAACUAUAAGAAUAUUCCCCUCAGUAUUAUUUUUCAAUUUUAUGAUUUUCAAAUAAGUAAUACAUACAAAUGGUACUGCAUAAAAAGAUAUGUAAUGAGAAGUGUCCCUCCCACCCCUAUCCUCCAAUCACCCUGCCUCCUGGCAACCACUGUAACUACUAUGUUGUGUAACUUUCCAGAAAUAGUCAGUAUGCAGACAGGGCCACUCCUAGUAAGAUGAAGGGUAUAGGGCAACUGAACUAGUGAGGAGUAACCAAGAAAUCACUUUGCUAGAAGGCUAUCUUUCAUAAGGUCCUUGGGAUAUCGUUGAAGAUGGAAAUUUUAAAAAUGAAUUUAAAAAACUGAAUUUUAAUGCUGUUCAGAAGAGAAAUAAGUACUCACAGUCCCCAACCAAGCACAGAAUGGGGAGGUGGGAAAGAGCUGCUUCAACGAUAGGACAGGCCUAUUAGACAAGCAUAUAUACAUGCAUUUAUGUUUAUGUAUUCUCUUUUUUUUCUAUACAAAUGAUGGCAUACAAUACACACUACUCUGUAUCUUGUUUUUUAUUAAAUAUAAUACACAUCCAAUAAACUGCACAAAUCUUAAGUA